AGUAGUUUUUAAGUGAGGUGAAACUUGGGGGUACGCAAGACAAAUCAGACUCCUGAAAGGGGUACAGUAGUGUGGACAGGUUGAGAGCCGCUGUCUUAGAGGGAGGGAGG